CCUAGUCAGUUGUCCAACUGAAAUGUGUCUUCCUGCAUUUAACCCAACCACUCUGAAUCAGAGAGGUGCGGGGGUUGGAGAGCCCUGGGCUAGACCGAUGGGUGAUACGGUUUUUUGGGGGGGAAAACCAAGCUCUUUACUGGAUAGCUGUAGAAUCAGAAACUUCACAACUACAACCAUUCUCUCUGCACGUUGAGCUAAUCUUUUAGAAUGACUUGCAGUCUUAGUCUGAGAGCUUGCCUAUGGGGGGACUUUGUGGCCAAAGGGCCGGUCAGAUAAACCCGAGAGAAAAUGUGAUGUCCCAGACUGUUCGUGGGGCCUGAUCACGGUCAGCAGUUGGUUGUCUUACGCCGCUGCCCUGUUUUGAGCUACCGUAUUAACCCAGAUAAUGAGAUCUCCAAAAUCUUUCAGAUAAUCCUGAUUUUAUGUUUCUGAAUCACAACCAGUAGUCUGAAGAUGUAGUUGUUGAUACUGAUAUAAAUGAGGAAGAGGAAAGUAACAUAAUCGUGUCAGGGAUCAUUGUGAGCCCAGAGGGUGUUAUGGAGAAUGCCAGCUCUGUGGGGCUGGCUCUCGUAGUGUGGAUUGUCACCGGAGUAAUCACAGCCAUUGGUGCACUGCUUUGCUGAACUGGGCGCCACUAUCCCCAAGUCUGGAGGAGACUACUUAUAUAUAAGGAGGACUUGUCAGGCUUCACAGCAUAUCCCCCUUCUUUACCUUGGGAAAGCUGAUUUUUGUAUGACGGCAUUCCUGCUGUGAUGGUUGCCUGGGAAGCUGUGCAGAACAGGCUCCUGGACCUCCUCUUCAACUAGGUCACCCUUGAUCCAGCGCUGUAUGUGGGGAAGCUGUGCAAGCUGUCCAUCGCAGAACCCCUGUGCCCAGUGUGAGAGGCCUCCACGACAGAGGCCUGACAAGGAGGAAGCCCUAGCUGGAUUUGUCUCCCGCUUCAAUCUUGGGAAUGACUGAAGCCAAGUGUGUGACUGAAGCCUGCAUAAUUGAAGCAGUGUACAUGGGUCCCCCUCCUCUCCCGCUCCCCUCCCAUCAAUCUCUGUAGUUGUUUGCAUUUGCUAAAGCAAUGAACUUUUACGUCAUAAGAUAUUACCUUUUGUUAGUUUUUAUAGUUUUUUUCAAGUAUUCGAAUGGGAGAUGAGUGUUACAAAUUGUACAAAUGAAUGAGAUCCUGCACACUGUAGGGUGGCCAAGUGCCAAGUGCCUAUAUUAGGCUCUAUGCCUCUACUAUAUUUGUGUCUUACCAUUAUUUCUCAUGGGUGUUCAAUUUGAUCAAUAUUUUGGCUAUGUUGGCCUAUUGUAAAUUAGCAAAUAACUGUCUGAUCAAUACAUUCAAUUCUGAACAUAUUGUCAUUUAUAAUGCUAUUUACUCAUUCUUGUGAAGUAUACUGAACAAAAAUAUAAACACAACAUGUAAAGUGUUGGUUUCAUGAGCUGAAAUAAAAGA